rnacentral:rRNA from 1 species
UGAGAAAUCUGCCCUGGACUCUGGGAUAAGCGUUGGAAACGACGUCUAAUACCGGAUACGAGACGUGAAGGCAUCUUCAACGUCUGGAAAGAACUUCGGUCCAGGAUGAUCUCGCGGCCUAUCAGCUAGUUGGUGAGGUAACGCCACCAAGGCGACGACGGGUAGCCGGCCUGAGAGGGCGACCGGCCACACUGGGACUGAGACACGGCCCAGACUCCUACGGGAGCAGNAG